UACGUAGGGUGCGAGCGUUGUCCGGAAUUAUUGGGCGUAAAGAGCUCGUAGGCGGUUUGUCGCGUCGGCCGUGAAAACUUGGGGCUUAACCCCGAGCCUGCGGUCGAUACGGGCAGACUUGAGUUCGGCAGGGGAGACUGGAAUUCCUGGUGUAGCGGUGAAAUGCGCAGAUAUCAGGAGGAACACCGGUGGCGAAGGCGGGUCUCUGGGUAGAUACUGACGCUGAGGUGCGAAAGCGUGGGGAGCAAACAGG
rnacentral:rRNA from 1 species